rnacentral:tRNA from 2 species
UAAGUUUUAGUUUAAAUAAAAAUUUUUGACUGUUAAUCAGAAGAAGCUGUGAAGCAAACUUAG